GAUACGACCCUCUCUUACACUUCUCUCUUUCUGAAACGGGAAACUGAGAAGUGGGAUGAUCAGGGUAACCAGAUUGUCAAGGUGACAAAAGAAAUGGCAGAUAAACUGUAUCACAUGGCCCAGUACCUAAAGAAGAAAGGGCCAAUCCAGACCAAAGAUGCUUUUGUAACAUCUGCGAAAGAUCUGGUCUCAAGAGGCCAGUCGAUCACCCAGUUUGUGCGUGUCCCGGGCAAGCAUUGUACUGAGGAGCUCUUUGUCAUUGCAGAGCAGAUCCUUACCAUUUCCAACCAACUUACCAUCAUUUCAAGGGGUGCAUGGUGUCUCUCCAGUGUUAAUGCAGUUACUCCUGGGUGCAAAUCAUCAGAUGAGAUCCUGGUGAAGAAUGCACAGAAUCUACUCCAGACAGUUAUCCAAGGAGUACGAGCUGCAGAGACUGCCUGCAUCAGGGGUCUGAAACAGCCUGAGCCAAACUCAGACGCAGCAAAGGCAGCAGCGUUCUGUUUCCAGUGGAAAAAGGGUCUCCUUAUACACCGAGCUCAAGAACAGCUUAACCCCGAAACUGAUGAUUUGGGUCUACGUAGGACCUCCCAGCAUUCAGCGGCACCCAGCCUUGCACCAAGCAUCAAUGUGUUAGAUAAUUACAAACGAGUAAACACAAAAUAAAG
ensembl:lncRNA